rnacentral:rRNA from 1 species
GACGAACGCUGGCGGCGUGCUUAACACAUGCCAGUCGAACGAUGAACCCGGAGCUUGCUCCGGCGGAUUAGUGGCGAACGGGUGAGUAACACGUGAGUAACCUGCCCUUGACUCUGGGAUAACUGCUAGAAAUGGUAGCUAAUACCGGAUACGACCCUCGGUGGCAUCACCAGGGGGUGGAAAGAAUUUCGGUCAAGGAUGGACUCGCGGCCUAUCAGCUAGUUGGUGAGGUAACGGCUCACCAAGGCGACGACGGGUAGCCGGCCUGAGAGGGUGACCAGCCACACUGGGACUGAGACACGGCCCAGACUCCUACGGGAGGCAGCAGUGGGGAAUAUUGCACAAUGGGCGCAAGCCUGAUGCAGCAACGCCGCGUGAGGGAUGACGGCCUUCGGGUUGUAAACCUCUUUCAGCACCGACGAAGCGCAAGUGACGGUAGGUGCAGAAGAAGGACCGGCCAACUACGUGCCAGCCGCCGCUGUAA